UUUGUGGUUAAAAAGCUCGUAGUUGGAUCUCAGUUCGAGUCAGGCGGUCCACUUGCCAGUGGCUACUGCCUGACUGAACACUUUACCGAGUUGUCCUAUGGUGUUCUUCACCGAGCGUCAUAGGCGAUCGGUACGUUUACUUUGAAAAAAUUAGAGUGCUCAAAGCAGGCGUAACGCCCGAAUAAUGUUGCAUGGAAUAAUGGAAUAGGACCUCGGUUCUAUUUUGUUGGUCUUCGGAAUCAGAGGUAAUGAUCAAUAGGGACAGACGGGGACAUUCGUAUUGCGGCGCUAGAGGCGAAAUUCUUGGACCGUCGCAAGACGAACUAAAGCGAAAGCAUUUGUCAAGAAUGUUUUCAUUAAUCAAGAGCGAAAGUUAGAGGUUCGAAGGCGAUCAGAUACCGCCCUAGUUCUAACCAUAAACGAUGCCAACCAGUAAUUCGUCUGAGUUCCUUAAAUGACUCGACGAGGGACUUCCGGGAAACCAAAGUCUUUCGGUUCCAGGGGAAGUAUGGUUGCAAAGCUGAAACUUAAAGAAAUUGACGGAAGGGCACCACCAGGAGUGGAGCCUGCGGCUUAAUUUGACCCAACACGGGAAAACUCACCCGGCCCGGACACUGGAAGGAUUGACAGAUUGAGAGCUCUUUCUUGAUUCAGUGGGUGGUGGUGCAUGGCCGUUCUUAGUUGGUGGAGUGAUUUGUCUGGUUAAUUCCGAUAACGAACGAGACUCUAGCCUACUAAAUAGAUCGUCGGCUUACAAACGCCGGCGAGACUUCUUAGAGGGACAGGCGGUGAUUCAACCGCACGAAACAGAGCAAUAACAGGUCUGUGAUGCCCUUAGAUGUCCGGGGCCGCACGCGCGCUACACUGAAGUGAUCAGCGUGCUUUUUCAACCUACUCUGUCAAGAGUGGGGAACCCAAUGAACCUUCUUCGUGAUUGGGAUAGGGGAUUGUAAUUAUUCCCCUUGAACGAGGAAUUCCCAGUAAGCGCGAGUCAUAAGCUCGCGUUGAUUACGUCCCUGCCCUUUGUACACACCGCCCGUCGCUACUACCGAUUGAAUGUUUUAGUGAGGUCUUCGGACUGGCCGGCGCAGCACUCUCGUAGUGCAGCGCUGUGUUUGGAAAGAUGCCCAAACUUGAACAUUUAGAGGAAGUAAAAGUCGUAACAAGGUUUCCGUAGGUGAACCUGCGGAAG
rnacentral:rRNA from 1 species